rnacentral:rRNA from 1 species
CAGUAGCCACGGUAAUACGGAGGGUGCAAGCGUUAAUCGGAAUUACUGGGCGUAAAGCGUGCGUAGGCGGUGAGUUAAGUCUGCUGUGAAAUCCCCGGGCUCAACCUGGGAAUGGCAGUGGAUACUGGCUCGCUAGAGUGUGUCAGAGGAUGGUGGAAUUCCCGGUGUAGCGGUGAAAUGCGUAGAGAUCGGGAGGAACAUCAGUGGCGAAGGCGGCCAUCUGGGACAACACUGACGCUGAGGCACGAAAGCGUGGGGAGCAAACAGGAUUAGAUACCCCCGUAGUCCCUGUCUCUUAUAC